GAUGAACGCUGGCGGUAUGCUUAACACAUGCAAGUCGAACGGGGUGCAUAGUCACCUAGUGGCGGACGGGUGAGUAACGCGUGAGAAUCUGGCCUCAGGUCCGGGACAACCACGGGAAACGGUGGCUAAUACCGGAUGUGCCAUAUUGGUGAAAGAUUAAUUGCCUGAGGAUGAGCUCGCGUCUGAUUAGCUAGUUGAUGGGGUAAAGGCUUACCAAGGCGACGAUCAGUAACUGGUCUGAGAGGAUGACCAGUCACACUGGGACUGAGACACGGCCCAGACUCCUACGGGAGGCAGCAGUGGGGAAUUUUCCGCAAUGGGCGAAAGCCUGACGGAGCAAUACCGCGUGAGGGAGGAAGGCUCUUGGGUUGUAAACCUCUUUUCUCAGGGAAGAAGAAUGACGGUACCUGAGGAAUCAGCAUCGGCUAACUCCGUG
rnacentral:rRNA from 1 species